AUUUUGCUUAAAUGAGUGUGAUGAACGUGAUGAAUCCAACGUCAUCAUGUUUUAAGACCCUGGAUCAGAGUGUAUUAGAAUCCUAACAAAAACCAGUGAGAAGAUGGACUAAAAUUACUAAGGUUUUGCACUAUCGGUCAGAUUAAUUGAUGAAUCCAAUAAGGGUUAAUCGGAUUAUUCUAAUAUUAUUAUAACAUGG
rnacentral:lncRNA from 1 species